AUUGAACACUGGCGGCAGGCUUAACACAUGCAAGUCGAGCGAGUGGCGGACGGGUGAGUAAUGUCUGGGAAACUGCCUGAUGGAGGGGGAUAACUACUGGAAACUGUAGCUAAUACCGCAUACCAUCAGAUGUGCCCAGGUGGGAUUAGCUAGUCGGUGGGGUAAUGGCUUACCCAGGCGACGAUACCUAGCUGGUCUGAGAGGCUGCCCAGCCAAAACGGGACUGAGACACGGUCCAGACUCCUACGGGAGGCAGCAGUGGGGAAUAUUGCGUAAUGGGCGCAACCCUGAUGCAGCCAUGCCGCGUGUGUGAAGAAGGCCUUCGGGUUGUAAAGCACUUUCAGUGAGGAGGCGUUAAUCGCAGAAGAAGCACCGGCUAACUCCGUGCCAGCAGCCGCGGUAAUAC
rnacentral:rRNA from 1 species